rnacentral:rRNA from 1 species
GACGAACGCUGGCGGCGUGCUUAACACAUGCAAGUCGAACGAAGUGGCGAACGGGUGAGUCACACGUGAGUAACCUGCCUUAGACAUUGGGAUAGCCUCGGGAAACCGGGAUUAAUACCAAAUGGUCUAAGAUGGACUCGCGUCCCAUUAGCUAGUUGGUGAGGUAACGGCCCACCAAGGCGACGAUGGGUAGCCGGCCUGAGAGGGUGAACGGCCACAGUGGAACUGAGAAACGGGCCAAACUCUACGGGAGGCAGCAGUGGGGAAUAGUGCACAAGGGGCGAAAGCCUGAUGCAGCGACGCCGCGUGGGGGAUGAAGGCUUGCGGGUUGUAAACCUCUUUCGCUAUCGAACGGGUAGGUGGAGAAGAAGCGCCGGCUAACUACGUGCCAGCCGCCGCGGUAAUAC